UACAGAGGGGGCAAGCGUUGUUCGGAAUUACUGGGCGUAAAGGGCGCGUAGGCGGCCUUCUAAGUCGAACGUGAAAUCCCCGGGCUCAACCCGGGAACUGCGUCCGAUACUGGAAGGCUUGAAUCCGGGAGAGGGAUGCGGAAUUCCAGGUGUAGCGGUGAAAUGCGUAGAUAUCUGGAGGAACACCGGUGGCGAAGGCGGCAUCCUGGACCGGCAUCGACGUUCAGGCACGAAAGCGUGGGGAGCAAACAGG
rnacentral:rRNA from 1 species